AGGACGAACGCUGGCGGCGUGCCUAACACAUGCAAGUCGAACGAGGUCCAACCGGUGGCAACACUGGUGAAGACCGAGUGGCGAACGGGUGAGUAACACGUGAGCAACCUGCCUCGAAGACUGGGAUAACCCCGGGAAACCGGAGCUAAUACCGGAUACCCCCACCGGGUCGCAUGGCCUGGUGAGGAAAUGGAUUCCGCUUUGAGAGGGGCUCGCGGCCUAUCAGCUUGAUGGUGGGGUAAUGGCCUACCAUGGCACCGACGGGUAGCUGGUCUGAGAGGACGAUCAGCCACACUGGGACUGAGACACGGCCCAGACUCCUACGGGAGGCAGCAGUGGGGAAUCUUGCGCAAUGGGCGAAAGCCUGACGCAGCAACGCCGCGUGUGGGACGAAGGCCUUCGUGGGUUGUAAACCACUUUCAGCAGGGACGAUUGUGACGGUACCUGCAGAGAGCCCGGCAACUACGUGCCAGCAGCCGCGGU
rnacentral:rRNA from 1 species